GACUAUCGGAUUCCCUCUACCACU
rnacentral:miRNA from 1 species